rnacentral:rRNA from 1 species
AGUCUCGAGCUGACCAGCGGAGGGAUCAUUACCGAGUUUACAACUCCCAAACCCAAUGUGAACGUUACCAAACUGUUGCCUCGGCGGGAUCUCUGCCCCGGGUGCGUCGCAGCCCCGGACCAAGGCGCCCGCCGGAGGACCAACCAAAACUCUUUUUGUAUACCCCCUCGCGGGUUUUUUAUAAUCUGAGCCUUCUCGGCGCCUCUCGUAGGCGUUUCGAAAAUGAAUCAAAACUUUCAACAACGGAUCUCUUGGUUCUGGCAUCGAUGAAGAACGCAGCGAAAUGCGAUAAGUAAUGUGAAUUGCAGAAUUCAGUGAAUCAUCGAAUCUUUGAACGCACAUUGCGCCCGCCAGUAUUCUGGCGGGCAUGCCUGUCCGAGCGUCAUUUCAACCCUCGAACCCCUCCGGGGGGUCGGCGUUGGGGAUCGGCCCUCCCUUAGCGGGUGGCCGUCUCCGAAAUACAGUGGCGGUCUCGCCGCAGCCUCUCCUGCGCAGUAGUUUGCACACUCGCAUCGGGAGCGCGGCGCGUCCACAGCCGUUAAACACCCAACUUCUGAAAAUGGUUGGACCUCGGAUCAGGUAGGAAUACCCGCUGAACUUAAGCAUAUCAAUAAGGCGAGAGGA